GGAUUAGGCAUGCAAGUCGAACGAGGAUGUAUCCUUCGGGAUAUAAGCCGAGUGGCGCAAGGGUGAGUAAUGCAUAGAUUACCUGCCUCUAGGAUAAGGACAACUUUGUGAAAACGAAGCUAAUACUUAAUGAUACAAAAGGAAAUAAUUUUCUUUUGUCAAUGGGAGGGUAGCAAUACCUUUUGCCUAGAGAGGGGUUUAUGUCCUAUCAGCUUGUUGGUGGGGUAAUGGCCUACCAAGGCGAAGACGGGUAGCCGGUCUUAGAGGAUGGUCGGCCACACUGGGACUGAGACACUGCCCAGACUUCUACGGAAGGCUGCAGUCGAGAAUCUUUCGCAAUGCCCGAAAGGGUGACGAAGCGACGCCGCGUGAGUGAGGAAGGCCUUAGGGUUGUAAAGCUCUGUCAGGAGUUAAGAAAUAUAAAUGUGCUAAUACCACAUUUAUUUGACGAAGGCUCCAAAGGAAGCCACGGCUAACUCUGUGCCAGCAGCCGCGGUAAUACAGAGGUGGCAAGCGUUGUUCGGAAUUAUUGGGCGUAAAGAGCACGUAGGUGGGUUUGUAAGUCAGAUGUGAAAGCCUUCUGUUCAACGGAAGAAUUGCAUCUGAAACUACAAGUCUUGAGUGUAGGAGGGGAGAAUGGAACUUCUGGUGGAGCGGUGAAAUGCGUAGAUAUCAGAAGGAACGCCGGCGGCGAAAGCGAUUCUCUGGCCUAUUACUGACACUCAGUGUGCGAAAGCUAGGGGAGCAAACGGGAUUAGAUACCCCGGUAGUCCUAGCCGUAAACGAUGGGCACUAAGUAGAGGGAAUUACCGAUGUUCUCUCUGCCGUAGCUAACGCAUUAAGUGCCCCGCCUGGGGAGUACGGCCGCAAGGCUAAAACUCAAAAGAAUUGACGGGGGCUCGCACAAGCGGUGGAGCAUGUGGCUUAAUUCGAUGCAACGCGAAAAACCUUACCGGGGCUUGACAUGGUAGAAGUAGGAACCCGAAAGGGUAACGAACGGUAUCCAGUCCGUAGCUAUCACAGGUGUUGCAUGGCUGUCGUCAGCUCGUGUCGUGAGACGUUGGGUUAAGUCCCCUAACGAGCGAAACCCUUGUUUUUAGUUACCAGCGGGUUAUGCCGGGUACUCUAGAAAGACUGCCGUCGUCAAGACGGAGGAAGGUGGGGAUGACGUCAAGUCAUCAUGGCCCUUAUGCCCCGGGCUGCACACGUGCUACAAUGGUCGGUACAAACGGAAGCGAAGCCGAGAGGUGAAGCGAAUCCUAAAAAGCCGAUCUCAGUUCGGAUUGGAGGCUGAAAUUCGCCUCCAUGAAGUUGGAAUCGCUAGUAAUCGCGGAUCAGCAAUGCCGCGGUGAAUAUGUUCCCGAGCCUUGUACACACCGCCCGU
rnacentral:rRNA from 1 species